rnacentral:snoRNA from 2 species
AGCUUAUCGGUGAUGUUGUAAAAAUAAAUGUCUGAACAUAUGAGUACAAUAAUGAUUUCAGCAUCAAACUGAGAUGAGCU